UUAGUACUCCCUCGGUCCCAAAGUUCUUGUUUUAGAUAUGUCUAAAUACGGAUGUAUUUAGUUAUAUUUUAGUGUUAGAUACAUCUGUAUCUAGACAAAUAGAAAACAAGAAUUUUGGGACGGAGGAAGUACUUU
rfam:Triticum aestivum genome assembly, contig: Triticum_aestivum_CS42_TGACv1_scaffold_227589_3B